rnacentral:lncRNA from 1 species
CUGUGCUUCUCUUAGGAAUGAGUAGGCCUGAAAUAAGGCCUGUCUCUGGCUGAGUGCAGAAGUCAGUUACUCAUAAAGAAAAUCUGAGGGUGAGAAAUUGGCCUGUUGCCUGCACUGUCCAGAGCACGGCCUUCACAGGCAUUCAGAAGAUACUGGAGGUGACCACAGCCUUCCACCCCAGAAGGCUCUCACAAAAAAAGGAGGGCUUUGAGAUCUACUCUGUGGCAAGUGUGGUGCCGCAGGUCCUCAAUACAUUGCACAGCCACACCUGUGUGUUUUCCAGUGCUGUGACUGACAGAGAUCAGGGGUUUAGGGGGUGACUUCACCUGUGGAGUCAGUUUCAGUGCUUGCAGUGAGGAGGAAAGAGUUUUGGGAGGGCAGCUCUUUGUGUAGCAACAACCAGGAAAGACUGCUUCUCAUAGAAGUAAAGAAAUUAUUUGUCAGCUGGUCAGAGAUCUCAGCCCUGGGCUCAUAAGGUUUACUUCUACACAGCUCUGAGAGACACAAGCAGUUUCCUGUCAUGAAAACCAUCUGUCUUGCUUUUGGGGUCUUUGUUCCCAGAGAUGGGGUCUCUGCUCCCACUGGCCUGGAGUUAGCUUCCCCCUUCAUCAGGUGCCCCAGCAGUUGGGGAAACCAAGUUGCAUCAAGUUCAAGGAACAGGUCUCCAUUUGCACAGUGUCUGUAGCAGAACCAGGACCAGAAUUUUUGAUCUUUGACUGUUGCUCUAGAUGCUCAACUACUUUGUACUCUGUGCUUUGUUUGGGUGGAAGGAGACUUGCCUGAAACCUGGCAUGGGUCUCUAGUGAUUGGAAGCUGCCACUCUGACAGUUAUUUAAUGUUUCAGAAGCAAGGAGCUGGUGGGAAAAACUCUGCCAUUUGGUACAGAAGAAGGUUUGUUCCUCCAUUAGUUAAGGAUUUUGUGGCACCUGGCUUGGAUUCAGCCAACCGGACAAAGAGGAAACAGACCUCACAUCUUGACCUUCCUCCUUCACCCAGGGCAGAUGAGAUGGUCUGUGGUGUUGGAUCGUCACAUGCUGAAGCCAUUUCUGAUUCCAUCACACCGCUGUGCUUGUCCAGUUCUAUCAAAAUUCAUUUGUUAUUUUCUAUGUUACUGUUACUGUGAUACCAUGAAUAGGACAUAUAGCAAUCAAAGUAGUAAUGACAUACAGUAAUUAACAUAAUACAGUUCAAAUCAUGGCAUAUUCUUACCCCUUAUUAAAUGCUCUUGAGGUACAAAUCGGACUUCCCCAUUAUUCUUCAUUACCUACCAAGUGCACCCAGGUCCCUGAGCAAAAGCAAUCCCACAGAUGAGUUUGCCUUUCCCUGAGGCAGGAAUAGCCCAGACUACCUUCCCCAGCAGGUUCUUUAUGAGCAGCACUACAGGGACUUUAUCCCCUUCUACAGUACGUAAGAGGUUUGAUUGGGCAGGUCCAGCUCAGUUGGCAGAUCCCCCAGUGCUGACUAACCAGGUGGCUUUUGCUAAGCAUGUAUCCCAAAGUUUGAAUGUGCCAGAACACAUUGCUAUCAGUGUAGCCUUUAAUAGCCUGUUAUAAUAUUCAAUUUUCCCAGAGACUCAUGCAUAAUAAGGGGUGUGAUAUACCCACUCAAUACCAUGCUCUUUGGCCCAGGUGUCUAUGAGGCUCUUUGUUUGCUUGGUUUGGUUAUGGUUUAAAUAGACUGACUCAUGAUCAAGAAGUCUGACAUUCAGCAUCCAGGUUCCACCUCCACAGAAGCAACCUCUUCGUGAAGUUACUAAUUUCAAGUAGUGUUGAGCGUUGAUUUAGAUUAGACAUAAGAAAGACUUUCUUUACUCUGAGGGUGGUGAGGCAGUCAAACAGGUUGCCCAGAGAAGCUGUGGAUGCCCCAUCCCCAGAAAUGUUCUAGGCCAGGCUGGAUGGGCCAUUGGGCAAUGCGUUCUAGUGGAAGGUGUCCCAGCUCAUGUUGGGGGGGUUGGAACUAGAUGAUCCUUAAGGGUCCUUUCCAACUCCAAUCAUUCUGUGAUUCAAGUAAGUGAUGAUGAUACAGGACAGCACAUAGUGUAAAUGUUUUUGUGGAGUUUAUGAUGUUUGUUAAAUAGGAAAAUCCUUUAUAGCAUUAUACUUCUCACAUUGUAUCAUUCAAAAUAAUCAAAAAGACUUUUCAUACUGCAUCCUUUGCUAGUGAUCAUGCAUUCCUGAUGUAUAAUUGAAAGCAUAAAUCACUUUAAGGACAUAUAUUGCAUUAUGUUGUGGGUGGAAGUCCUGAGUCUCACAAUCUGUUGUAAUCACUGCUGUGUUAUGACUGCUGUGCAUACUUCUCUGAGGAGAGAAACCUCAUCCUGGGGUAAAGCAAGUACAAACGUAAUAAAUAAAUAAAUUUGCAAAGGGAGUGUCCCCA